rnacentral:rRNA from 1 species
AGCAGCCGCGGUAAUUCCAGCUCCAAUAGCGUAUAUUAAAGUUGUUGCAGUUAAAAAGCUCGUAGUUGAAUUUCGGGGUUAGUAGAUUGGUCAUGCCAUCGGUAUGCACUGGUCUCACUGAUUCCUCCUUCCUGAUGAGCCGUAAUGCCAUUAAUUUGGUGUUGCGGGGAAUUUGGACUGUUACUUUGAAAAAAUUAGAGUGUUUAAAGCAAGCUAACGCUUGAAUACAUUAGCAUGGAAUAAUGAAAUAGGACGUUCGAUCCUAUUUUGUUGGUUUCUAGGAUUGACGUAAUGAUUAAUAGGGAUAGUUGGGGGCAUUAGUAUUCAAUUGUCAGAGGUGAAAUUCUUGGAUUUAUUGAAGACUAACUACUGCGAAAGCAUUUGCCAAGGAUGUUUUCAUUAAUCAAGAACGAAAGUUAGGGGAUCGAAGACGAUCAGAUACCGUCGUAGUCUUAACCAUAAACUAUGCCGACUAGGGAUCGGAUGAUGUUAAUUUUUUAAUGACUCAUUCGGCGCCUUACG